AACAUUGCAGAUGGUGUACAAAGAUGGAGAGUGCAUGUGGAAGUACCAAGCAGCAGCGUUUUAACAAGCGCUCAUAGCAAGGAAGCAAACAGAACUGAUGAGGGGCUGGUCUUGCACCACCAGAUCUGCAACCUGUCACAGCUCAGCAUGCCCUUCCUGAACUUGUCACAAACCACUAAUUUAAAUUAACAAUCAGGCUGAAAUAAUCUAUCUGUGUAAACACGAAUACACCCUAGCUGAAAAUGAGCAGCAUUUAAAGGCAGUUAAAAAUAAUACGGACCCUAAACAAACCCAAAGCACGGGGUAAUUCACCCCUUGAGCAAGUCUGCUUUAGGAAGAACAACUGAGUUCAGGUGAAUUAAUACCAGAAUGAUUUCCUCUCCAGAUUCCUAUGCAUAGACCAAAGACAAUAGGAGAAACACGGCACAUGUAACCAACGAACAUAUUUUAUUAUUUAAUUAUGCAAAGUGCACGAGGACACGUUCACACCUCCUAACUCAGGAUUCUGAAGGCGCCACCUUCAUCCUAACCUCGCAAUGAUUUGUUACACUGGAAUCAGGAGCUUAUUAAAAAUUCAUUAACUGCAAUGUGCUAUUGGCACUGUCAUUCUGCAGAGAUCUUUUAACCCAAAGGAAGGUUUGCGCUAGGAUAAUUACAGUUGUACUGUAUUAAAAUACAAGAGUAAUGGCUAUAUAGAGCCAUCCACUGGCUGAUGAUUAAAGCAUCCAGACUGCUAAUGACAGCUUGCAUUCAGCUUUGUCUCGUAGCUUUCCAGAUGCAGUAUUUCAAGAUGACAAUGCAGAUUUCAAGAUGACAAACAAACCCACACAGAAACUGAAUACAGAAUCAACAUGUUCUGAAGUUCAGGAGUCAAUAUGGAAGACCUGAGAGUUUUUGUUUUGUUAUUUUAAUCUUACAGGUUAUUCCCCCCAACCCCCAGUAAAUCUUGUUAGAGCUUAAGCCAUAGAACAACUAGAAGAAAAUCACUUUGAUAAUGCCUGAUCUCAACAAAAGGUUCCAACUCCAUUCUUUACUGCUAUAACAAAACGUAUCAGUCUCCUUUUCUGAGAAGCUGUAUAGGCAUUAGCCCUGUAGUUGCCAGGAGGAAUAUCUGAGAUCAGUGUUCUAGUUUCCAUUUCAGAUGGAAAACAAAGUGCAUAAAUUAUAGACCUGAAUAUAUACCCCAUUGUCAUUGGCUAUGUGUGACAGUUAAACAGCCAUAACAAGUGGCAAGUAUCAGCAGAGGACAGUUUCCCAUCACCUACAGCACAAACUACCUCCACCCUCGGCUUUCAGCCCUGUCUAUGCAGCCCGCUGCAGCUCCUGGGGCUGAAGUGUCACUGCAGCUGUGAGCUCCGUGUCCCCUGCCCUCCCACUGCCUGCUAUACUCCCAUACCCAGUGCUAGCACAAGAUUUUUGUGUGGCCUUGUGGUGAACCUUGCUGUUGCAGCCGCCUGGGAGAAACAAGACCUUUUUUUCCAGCUGACUUUCCUGCAUGGAUGUGCAACGCCUGUGCUGGCACCAUGCACGGGCAGCCUGGGGGCAGGAGCAAGGAGCUGCAGUGUGGGGGCAGUACCACCACUGAACCAGCUCAUGCUGCCCAAAAUGCAACUAAGGCUCAAGUGAGACCCUUUCACUCGUCAGGGUGCUGGUUUUUCUUGACGAAAACGCAGCACUGUUCUGUCAGUCCUUAGAAAAAACAAAGCAGAUGACUAAAAAUAAAGUAUGACUGAACCAAAAUGGAAAAUGUUUGUAGCAGAAGGAAAAUAAGUGAAGAAACUCCAUGACAACUCAUACUGAAGACUGAUUCUUACUUUUUUCCAGAUGUGUAGAGCACUGAGAAGUAACUAUUGACAAUUUUCCUCCAUUACUUGCAAACGGAACUUUUAAGAUGCAAGCUGAAAACUAUGCGUUACAUUAUUAUAAACCUUUAAUUUAUUCUCUGCGGGCUGUGGAUCUGCUGAUUCAGACGGCUCCAGUCUGCUCCUCUAACCACUAACCCCAUCCUUCGGGGCUGACUGGCAUGUGGCGUGUUGCUGAGAGCCCGGGUAAUUCAGCAUGCAGCCGGGCUGCUCCCAGGCUUGGUGUAACACGCUCCUCUCUGUGCACACCGAUGUAACCCUAUAAAUGCGACAGCUAAUCUGAAUAUGCUGACAAACUAUUUUAUAACUAAAUAUUCGCCUAUCUCCCACCUAUGGUGCGUGACUGAAAUGCAACCUUAACAUGAAGUAAAUGCCUGAUUCUCUCACCCCAGUGCUGCUUUCGUGCUUUGCCAACUGUGAUUUUGGGAGUGCUUUCCACCUGCAAAUAGCAGAACAAGUAGGCAUUCACCAGAAGAGGAAAGAGCUGUUUUUCAGAGAAAUAUUGCCCCAAAGUGAACCUCGGAGCAGUGGGAAGGGCAGUUUGCCCCCUGUGCAUGUAACACUCCAGGCACAGGCUGAGGAAGAAGGGCAGUAGGGCAGUAGCUGUGACAGCACAGCAGCGGUACUGCUCUGCCCCCCGCUCAGGAGCAGUCCCCUUGACAGACAGUGCUCUUCCCUUCCUCGGGAAUAUCAGCGACAACCUGCAGUGCUUCUGGGGAGGAACACGUAACACCUCUUGUGUGGGUAGUGACCGCUGUAGCCAAGGAGAGUAAAAAAUGGCACGGCGUGGUGUGGUGUGAGCCACUGCUGGCCUAGGGGAGGUCAGACCUGGCUUAGGGAAGAGGAUCAGGAGCCCAGAUCCCGGGGGGUGGAAACAGGCAAACUGGUCAGGAAUGAAAAUGCUCCCUCUUGAGAGCUGGGGACCAGCUCUAGCAGAGCACUGUCCCGGGGCUCAGGGCUUGUCCUGCUACCUAUGACAUGCCGUAAGCACAGCCACACUGCCUCUCCUGCCCCAUGGGAUAACCUGGUAGCAUCAGAGGCUCCCAGCGGCUCAGGGAGCUGAGCACUUGGACAGAACAGAAGUCUCCUGUUAAGUGGCACAAGCUCAGCUGUGGUAUGCUAGUGAGGAAAUCCCUUCAUCUUUACAAUUCUUCUAAUUUCACUACAGGAGUAGGCAAACACCCUGCAGAAGGAAAAAAAAAAAAAAAAAAAAAAAAGACAUCUAGACAGCGCAGUGUUUUUCCAUAUCACACUGUGCCGCCCUCUCCUACACUUACUACAACGUGACUUAAAGCUUCCCCAUGUAAAAAACAAACCGCUGCAUUCUGUGCCUUAAUUCUUCUACUGCUACAUGUGUUUCACCUUGCUGACAGGCAUGACCCUACAAUUUUAAGAUCUAGUCAGGGUAAACUUAGGCACAUACACAUGGAUGUAGAUGCUCUCUUCCCCCAAGGCACACGGUCUAAUUAAAACAGACAACAAAGUCUAAGUCAAUUUUUUAAAGCAGUUGGAUUCCAAUGAAAACAAGCCCAACCCUGAAGCCCAGCACUAACAGUUUUCCUUUUGAGUGGGACUGUUUUCUCUCUCAGGCAUAAAACCCCUCAUUCAGGCUCUGCACAUUCGUUAGAAGCCCAAGUACAACUGGUCCAGUGUAGUCAGGGCAAUGCCCUGCUGUUUGGUGCGGUGGCACCCAGGGCGUGUAGGAAUACUUUUACCAGGGCGGCUUGCACACAGAGGGAAAAAACAAGCUCACUGUAACCCUAAAUAAGAUGUGCCUAAGCUGACUGAAAUCUCCAGCAGGGGCUGCAUGGGUUUCACAGUUCCCUAGAAAUGGGAGGAGGCAGAUAGGGAGAAAGACUGGUAUAGCCUCAUACUUGGUGGAUAUAGACAUGAGCCAGAACGGUUAGUGACAGCCUCCUAGAAUGCAGGGAGAGGCUCAGGAUUCCUGAAAGAUAACAGGAAAGCAAAUUAAGGUGGUAGAGAUCUUUUUCCACAAAGGAAAUAUUUUCUUUAUGCUCUCAGAUUCAUUGAUGUUGCUUGCAAUGAAGAUACGCUGUGUUAGAACAACCAACAACUGAAAACUGAAAAUGCUCGCAGCACUUUAACAACCAACUUUAUUUUGCAUUAUGCUAGCUGAGAGCCAGCGAGCUGCUCUAUAAAUAAGCAACUACUGUAAGCUAUGAAGCUAAUGUUCAACCUGCAUACUCUGACCAGUGGUAAAUUCACUGAUAAGAGAGAGAUGUGGCUGUUUAUAGGUGAGCAAAAUCUGCACAUUAAGCUUUAGAAAAACAGCCACACCCAAAUAGUACGAGGAACCUUUGAAGCUCAGUCUUGUGAGGGACGCUUGCUUUUAUAGCCUGAGCUGUGCAUUGGACUUUUCUCAGAAAUUUCCGGCAGUACUAAGCUCCAUUCCUGGAAUAAACUCUACUGGAAUCUCCAGCAGUGUGCUUGGCAGGGAGCACGCAGCUUGUCAAACGCGAACCACUCCAAGAACGCGACCGGCGAUGCACGGCAGCCACAGCCUGUCAUCUCCCUGUGUUCGGCUGUGUUUUCACACAAUGCACACAGGAAGAAAUCUUUAAUUCAGACACAACUGCCAACUCAGAGAAAGGUGAUGUCGUGCUACCAGCAUUCCCUUAUGAGAGCUGAGCAAAUGGUUGAGGCAGCUGAAAACGCACCUGCACGGGGCUCUCCCUGCCUCACCGCCAGGCUGAGGCUGUCUGCUGCAGUCAGCACGAAGACCGCCUGUUUCUCCACUGCUCCCACCUGCUGGCUGUAGCUCUGGCUGCGACUGCUGCUGCAGACAUUCCUAAGAGCAUGCAAAACGACGUUUUCUGGGAGCUCACAGCAGUGACAUCCACAUACCGGUCCUUCUGCAGAAUAAAGCCAGCGUGAUUUUGGCAUUUUGAUAAAGGGCAUCCCCUCUCAUCCCCACAAGCUGGCAGGUUUGUGGUGCUUCUAAGAGGCCCCUGCAGCAUCCUUCCAGCUGCAGUCACUGACAGGCUCCUCGUGUGUCUCCAGCCACCACCGUGCUCCCAGACGCCCUUUUCUGUGACUUAAUCUUGGAUGACUAUCAAAGGAAACUCAGAAAGCUUCCAAUCCAUGUAGGCUCAUAGCCAAAUGCACCAUUUAAAUGUGACUGCCCUAGGGCCUGCCCAUCAGUUGCAUCUAAAUACGGUAGAGACCAGACACCGACAGAAAAGCCUGGCGCACAACUUGCUCUCUGGGGGUACAGCUAAAGGGCAGGCAGCACCACCUACACAUCUGCGAGGGCCCCAGCACAGAUACUGAAGUUCCUCAAAACCUGAUAUGUGUCUUUGAAGCUGUGCUUGUGAAAGGCUGAAAGCUGCACAGUGUGAACAGUGGAGAACCUGAAUACUCGGAGAUGAUUCCUGGGUGCAAGACAUUUCAGAAAGGCUUGACACGCGGCUUACUGAUGACCGCAAAGAGACAGAAAAGGAGAGGCACGUAUACAGAGAACUGCCUCCAGCCUGAAACCCAGAUCAUCAGUUACAGCAGCGGUCUGAGGAGACACCACACAGCCCUCUAUACUAGCACAGGAUUUUUGCUCAGCAAUAGCAAGCCUUGGUGAAAUCAGGGCAUGGCAAAUGAAGGGAUCCCUAAAGAUCCACCAGGUAGGAAGGAAGAGCAUCCCAGAAAGUUAAGGAAAACUAGAAGUAUGAACUGAAGGCAUAAAAACAGAGCAUUUCAACGCUUUUAUGAACACUCAGAUACACAGUAGUGUGAAUUACAUUACAAUGAAGGCUUUAAUCAGACUAACAGCUAUUUUGGGUGUUUUCAGUUAUCAAAUUGAAAUCACUAGUUCCCUGAGUGCAGACAAAUCCUCUGAUUGCUUUUAAGCCAUUUUCUUACCUUAUAUAUUUAGUUGAGGUUUUCCUCAAUCACUUUUAUACUGAAUAUGGGAAUAUUGCAGUCUGCACUGUUUGCUGGCUGUACUUUAAGAGGAUGGUGGAUCUUGGGGGGGAGGGGGGAGAGGGAAGGAGAAGGAGAGAAUUUUAUGCUCUCAGCUGCUCCGCAAUUGCAUAAACUUUGCCAGCGUGAACCUCCUGGGAGAGCUGUACUAUAGGCAUUAUGACUCAGCCCUGCUCUGGAUGAAGUCACUGUCAAGUGGAAGCAAACUAUUUGUUUCUAACAACAUAUAUGGUGAAGUCCAAAUGCAAGUUCAAGACAAAGCUGUCGUUAUUUCUCCCACCCACUUUGCUAUUGUUUUGUUCAGUUCAGAUCGCAAAGGAGCUCACAAUUUAAGUGAGCGCCAGAAGGAGAGCAAACCAGCUGACAUCACCAUGUGAGCAAAAGAAGUUCCCUGCUCUCAUGGACCAGAACCCAAAGAUUUUUUUUCCCCUGACUCACUGUUACUGAGAUUUGUAACUAUCAUACAGCUCCUGCUUCCAGGGCUGGAGGAUUACAAUAUGCUAUAUAAUGACCUCUUCCCCCUUUAUUAAUCCAUUUUUAAGUAAUGGAUUUAAAAAUAGACACCCCUUUAACUUUGUAGUAACAUGACAACUGAGACCUUUGCAUCUCUUUUUGAGGCUGUGUUUUGCUUAAAGGAAGCAGCGCUGCUCCUUGCCGGUUAGCAAGCACCUUGUCUGGCACAUCCGUAGCCACCCCACCUAAUCACAGAAGCGGAGUCCACACUGUCAACACCAGAGACGAGGCACAAAGACUAUCAAAGCACUCUUUUUUUAAACAAAGAGUUAACCUUGAAGACAAUCCUGACAUAGAUCCUUUAAAGCACAUGUGCCAUCUUUGAAACUGCAUCUAAAUUAGGACUGGCAAUUCAUGUAAUGGUUUCAAAUGCUACAAAUUUGUCUUGGAUAACAGAGUGGGAAAGAGGACGAGCAGAGAGCUGCCGGUGUCCCGCAGAGUGCAAUUUAGAGGGGCUUUAAGUAGCCUCUGUGAGUCAGGGACUUGGUGACGUUCUAGCACAGCAGUAAUAGGCUGCUCCUAUCAAGGAGAUUUAUGAAAGCAUUUUCAUUUAUAAUCACCACUGAAACAUCCUAGCAGGACUGAAUCAUAUACCAAAAUAUAGACCUGUUCUUGCUUGGAGAUAGGCUUAAGCACAUGAUUCAAUCCAUCCUUAAUCACAACGCUGGAAUUGCCAGUCCCAACUGGAGGCUGGCAGAAACAAUGUCAGUUAAUCCCCGCCUCAGAAAACCUGUCAUCGCUCACUUAUCUUGUUCCGUUGGGGUGGCUGGAAUAAGAGGCCUGCUAGAAACGCCUGACUGUUCUCUAAGGGACUCAUGCCUCUUUUGGAGAAACCAAAAUUAUAAAAGCAAAAUGAAAAAUGAGAAGUAGAAAAUUGAAAAGUUCUCAUUUAAAAACUGUGCUGUUUGUCAGGCAACCAGUUUCCAGUAAAGUAACCUUUACAAAUUUAGCACUUUUUCUUUUUAAACACUCUUGUCUUAGCAAAAAGAAAAAAUUCUGGGAGGAAGAAUCCCCCUCCCAAAGUACAGAUUAUAAUCUUCUUCACCACCAGGAACAAAUUUUCUCACUUUGUGCUUUAUCUUUAAUGCAAUGCUAAUGGUAACAAUUUCUCGCUUGGGCUAUUACACACCAGCUGGCAGAAGCACAGCACGAUGCACCCACUGGCUAAAGAAAAUCUUCACUUUCGCAUGUUAAACCUGAAGUCACAUGGUUUUAUAAUAAUCCACUGAGCAAGCAUGAGACAUUCAUCCUCAAAAUCCCACAGAAACCCUACAGUGAUUUGCUCAUCUUACACUUUAAUCUAUUAUAGAAAUUCAUCUCUACACUUUCAGUAUUUGUAUUCAAAGGGCACUGAACACCAGCAAUUAACCAAGGGGUUAUGGCACAGACCAAAACGCACCCAGUGCUAAAGGCAACACGGAGCUGAAAUUGGAUUUCCACAGAUGAAUGAUCAAACACUUUUUGAACCAGGUUUUACCCCAACACCCACAGUUUUCUCCAUAUAAUCUGCCCCAACUUAGAUAAAAGCAGACUGUUAGUUUAUGUACGUUACUGGAGGCACCAUUACCUGGCAGUAACUUCGUUUUGUGAACGUGCACGUGAUGGGCAAAGGCCUGGCCACUGGAGUUGCAGCUGAACUUAUGAAAUAGACUAAAAGCACAGUUGGUUUAUUUUGUUCUAUUUCUCCCUUUCCCUUUCUGUGCUGAGAAAAUAUACAUCACUGAAUCAGUUCUCACAAAGGACUGAAAACUGUACAGUAGCUCCAGGCUGGGUGUAAGCCCUUAGCCGAGUUUCUCUUUGGGACUGUCACACGCACAGCUUGGUAGAGAGUUCUGGAACUUAACUUUCGCUUCAUAAACUUAUGUUCAAAAACUGGUACCUCAGAAGGCAAAAAUUGUCCUGUUUUCACUCCUUCCCAUCAUCCAGAACCACUGCUUUCUUGUGAUACCCUGCCAGGCACUACAAUACAGGCAGGGAAGGUGACUUGCCCCGUGCCCCUCUCCUGUUCCCAGCCCCACAGCUCGGGGCAGUAGGGAUGGAGCUCCACCACUGCCAGCCUCAGCCUCUCAGCAGUCCCGCUCCCAAGGGUCUGAGGAAGAAACAAGUGCCAGACAGCAGCAUGAGGAGCCAGCCCCAUCCUGCCACACCUCUCAGCACAAUGCAGGACCAAACAGGCCCUGCGUGGACCUCCCUUCGACUCCAUGAAUAUCAACAGAGAUGCAAAGGUCUGUGCAAGCAGCUCCCAGCACAAGACAAAAAUUAUAACUUAAAACCACAAAAAUUAUAGCGUAAAUGACAGUUGUCCAGGUCAGGCCACAGACAUGACCCCAUAAGACUUCCCUGAGUAACAAUGUCUGAAAAACACAACUUGAGUUCUGAAUACAGCAGCCAGCCAUGGAACUUCUGAGCUGACCAGAAACAUUUACUGUAGUUUUCAUCAUCAGCUCCAACUGAAACCAAAAGUCACACCAGGCUCAGGCAGCCCACAGCUGGAAAUAGAAAGCAGUCACAUUUCUUGUCACGUACGGCUCGCUCAGGGUGAGUGUGUGAGGGCGCUGGGCUGAGCGGGCCCGAGCCACCCCACAGCAUCAGGAUCACACAGCCCCGACAGCAGCUCCACCACAGCCUCCCGGGCCUACCCCAAGAGGUCCUGCGCUGUCACGGUGCCACGUGCACAGGGGGAAGGCUCAGGGGGUUGGCACUAUUUCCUCACCGCCUGCAACUGCACCUCUCCACCCAGAGCCACAGCUGGCUGCCAGCAACAGCAGCACAAGGGAGCGGUGUACCAGGACGUCGCAACUAUGCUCCUGCCUCCAUUUGCUGGCAUGAACAGGGUAUAACGGAGGGCAGACAAUAGCCCUACUGCAAACACUAAGAUUUCAUAAUGACUCGUAUGAUGGAAACGUUACUCAAGUCCAGUUUUGGUUACCUUAUUUCAUACAUAAAAUUAAAAACAUAUAGAGACACACACAACAUUUCUCCCCACAGCACCUUGGCUCUUUUCCAAGAGCGUUUUAAACAACCUGCAAAUACUAAUAAAAAGUAACUAAAAGUAAGUGUCAAAAAAGAUACUUUUUCUUUUAUGUCUUAUCUUCCUUGCAUUUAGUUUUGUUAUUCAUUCUGGACCAUUUGCUAUUCAUGUUCAUUUGCCACUCUGCUCCAAGCAAGAAAUUAUUUUGCUUAUAAUAUGACAAAACUGCAACUUCCCUUCAAUUCUCCUUUUCUCAGAAUGCUGAGAGUGAAGUACUUCCACCUGAUAUUUAAGUGCUUAACCUCCUUUUACUUCUGUUCAUACAAAUACUCCAGGAGGAGGGCUUAAGCACAUCUAGGUUUCGAUGACAAACAAAUUAACUGUCUGGAAGGAAGUAAAUGGAAAGUCCUUAGGUAUUGCCGAGGUUUCCAUUAGGAGAUGCAGAACAACUCCAGGGUAAUUCAUUGGCAACAAAGCUGGGAGGCUGCCAGGAAUUCAGGACAUAAACCUUUAGUCCAGUUGUAUUUGCUCGCAUCAAAACAGUCUGGCUGUAUUUCUGUUAUUUUAUACGGAUUCUCAGCAAGGAAGGUACUGCGAGGGGCUAGGAAUAGGUUGGAAGUUUUCUGACUUCGAAAGGAAACCUGUGAAAAACUGCAAGGCAAUAAAGCUAUCUUUUGAAACUUCACUAGCCAAUGGUCACAGAUGAGGGUCCUGUAUUACUCAAUGCCAGAAAGUGGGGGGCACCCCUUAAACCUUGAAAAAGAUUGGAACAGUUCCUUUGCCAGCCUUCAGUCACUGCAUGAAAAAUUCAACUGCAAUUAGCAUUUAGUACAAAGCACUUUCUGUAGGCUGACAAUAGACAGUCAGACCAGAAAGUGUACAUAACAAGAACAGAAUCCUGUUUUAAAUUGCAUGGUUUUUGUUAACAAUGAAAUGAUCUCCACUUUUCCCCAGAAAAUUCAGAUACACAUAAGUCCCAUUGGUUGCUAGCGUAAAUUAAGAGCAAGAAAACAGAAGUUUGGAUUAAAAAGCAUUAGGGUAAGUUCAGGGACACGUUAAAUGGAAUUGCUUAUUUUGCUGUUCCAUUAAAUAGGCAAGCUCAAUGCAUCUGACACCCCGUCCUAUUCUUUAUGAUCACUAUUCACCAUCAAUCAUUUAAGCCGUACGUCAGACCUGCCUAAGUGAAGUGCCCACUGCUCUGAAUGACUGCGAUGCACGCUGUGCGCCACGAGGGAAACCAAAGAUAAACUAUUAUACUACUAAAUACCUCCGUGAAGAAAAAAAUAAAAUAAAUUAUCUAUGCAUUACAUAAAUUUCCAUGACAUUUCAAUUAAUCUCUUAGUACUAUUUACAGUCUGUAAACUACACAGCACAGGCGUCUGUGCCUAAGGAUAAAAUACCAGAGAAUAAAGUAUUAAUUGAGUCUUAGCUGGGAUGAUUUGACUUAAAGCAAACGUUAAAACCAAACAGCAUCACCACCUUUCACAUCUGCACGCAGAGACAAAAGUGGCUGAUAAUUGAUGCAAUAAAAAAGCAGCUUUACAAUCUUUGUCACAAGUUCUCAUUAAUUCUCUACCACUCCCUUUUCCCGUGCAUAUUUGCCUUUCAGCAGUAGAGUAGAACAGCAAGUAAAAGCACUGGUGGCAUCGUGUGCAGCCACCCAGUUCCGAAAAGAAUUUCAGAGUUAA